ensembl:lncRNA
UGAGUACUACCCCAUGAUUCAGCAUUUUACUGUAGAAGAAUAUUUGACUGUAGUUUCAUAACCACUGUACUUCAAGCGACAUUAAAGCACAAGAGUAAGCACUAAAAGCCGGGGUCCUCCUCCUGGGUAUUUUGAGGACUAACCGUUCAGAUAGAGAAAUGAAGAACACCCCAAAAAUCAUUUGAUGGGAAAGAGAAACUCAGAAAACCUCCACAAAAUGGAUCAGUAAGUAUGAAAAUGAUGGCUCCAAGAACACAUAAGGUGUCUUUCCACCUGCCAAUUAAGAAAGAUGAGGAAGUCAUCUAUGACUAAAGCUCCUAUGCUGUACGAGGACUUCUAGCC